GGACUAAAUAGCUCAGUUGGUUAGAGCAUGGUCGCUAGAAUUGCUAAGGUCCUAGGGUCAAUCCUCAGUUGGUUCA